CCUACGGGGGGCAGCAGUGGGGAAUAUUGCACAAUGGGGGAAACCCUGAUGCAGCAACGCCGCGUGAGUGAAGAAGUAUUUCGGUAUGUAAAGCUCUAUCAGCAGGGAAGAAAAUGACGGUACCUGAAUAAGAAGCCCCGGCUAACUACGUGCCAGCAGCCGCGGUACUACGCAGGGGGCAAGCGUUAUCCGGAUUUACUGGGUGUAAAGGGAGCGCAGGCGGCAGUGAAGGUCUGGAGUGAAAGCCCGGGGCCCAACCCCGGAACUGCUCGGGAAACUGUGAGGCUAGAGUACGGGAGGGGAAGGCGGAAUUCCGGGUGUAGCGGGGAAAUGCGUAGAUAUUAGGAGGAACACCGGUAGCGAAGGCGGCCUGCUGGACAGUAACGGACGCUGAGGCUCGAAAGCGUGGGGAGCAAACAGGAUUAGAUACCCUUGUAGUC
rnacentral:rRNA from 1 species